GACGAACGCUGGCGGCGUGCCUAAUACAUGCAAGUAGAACGCUGAAGGAGGAGCUUGCUUCUCUGGAUGAGUUGCGCACGGGUGAGUAACGCGUAGGUAACCUGCCUGGUAGCGGGGGAUAACUAUUGGAAACGAUAGCUAAUACCGCAUACUAGCAGUUAUUGCAUGAUAACUGUUUGAAAGGUGCAAUUGCACCACUACCAGAUGGACCUGCGUUGUAUUUGCUAGUGGGGGGGGUAACGGCUCACCAAGGCGACGAUACAUAGCCGACCUGGGAGGGGGAGCGGCCACACUGGGACUGGGACACGGCCCAGACUCCGACGGGAGGCAGCAGUAGGGAAGCUUCGGCAAUGGACGGAAGUCUGACCGAGCAACGCCGCGGGAGUGAAGAAGGUUUUCGGAUCGUAAAGCUCUGUUGUAAGAGAAGAACGAGUGUGAGGGUGGAAAGUUCACACUGUGACGGUAUCUUACCAGAAAGGGACGGCUAACUACGUG
rnacentral:rRNA from 1 species